rnacentral:rRNA from 1 species
UACGUAGGAGGCGAGCGUUGUCCGGAUUUACUGGGCGUAAAGCGCGCGCAGGUGGCAUGACAAGUAAGGUGUGAAAUCUCCCUGCUCAACGGGGAGGGUGCACUUUAGACUGUCAAGCUAGAGGACGGUAGAGGGGGGUGGAAUUGCUGGUGUAGCGGUGAAAUGCGUAGAGAUCAGCAGGAACACCCGUGGCGAAGGCGGCCCCCUGGGCCGUACCUGACGCUGAGGCGCGAAGGCUAGGGGAGCGAACGGGAUUAGAAACCCCCGUAGUCC